rnacentral:misc_RNA from 1 species
GAUGAAGAACGCAGCGAAAUGCGAUAAGUAAUGUGACUUGCAGAAUUCAGUGAAUCAUCGAAUCUUUGAACGCACAUUGCGCCCUCUGGUAUUCCGGGGGGCAUGCCUGUUCGAGCGUCAUUAUAACCACUCAAGCUCUCGCUUGGUAUUGGAGUUCGCGAUCUCGCGGCUCCUAAAAUCAGUGGCGGUGCCUGUCGGCUCUACGCGUAGUAAUACUCCUCGCGAUUGAGUCCGGUAGGUUUACUUGCCAGCAACCCCCAAUUUUUACAGGUUGACCUCGGAUCAGGUAGGGAUACCCGCUGAACUUAAGCAUAUCAAUAAGCGGAGGA